GCACCUUCGGGUGAGCGGCGGACGGGUGAGUAACGCGUGGGAACGUGCCCUUCUCUGCGGAAUAGCCACUGGAAACGGUGAGUAAUACCGCAUACGCCCUUCGGGGGAAAGAUUUAUCGGAGAAGGAUCGGCCCGCGUUAGAUUAGGUAGUUGGUGGGGUAAUGGCCUACCAAGCCUACGAUCUAUAGCUGGUUUGAGAGGAUGAUCAGCCACACUGGGACUGAGACACGGCCCAGACUCCUACGGGAGGCAGCAGUGGGGAAUCUUAGACAAUGGGCGCAAGCCUGAUCUAGCCAUGCCGCGUGAGUGAUGAAGGCCUUAGGGUCGUAAAGCUCUUUCGCUGGGGAAGAUAAUGACUGUACCCAGUAAAGAAACCCCGGCUAACUCCGUGCCAGCAGCCGCGGUAAUACGGAGGGGGUUAGCGUUGUUCGGAAUUACUGGGCGUAAAGCGCGCGUAGGCGGAUCAGAAAGUUGGGGGUGAAAUCCCGGGGCUCAACCUCGGAACUGCCUCCAAAACUCCUGGUCUUGAGUUCGAGAGAGGUGAGUGGAAUUCCGAGUGUAGAGGUGAAAUUCGUAGAUAUUCGGAGGAACACCAGUGGCGAAGGCGGCUCACUGGCUCGAUACUGACGCUGAGGUGCGAAAGUGUGGGGAGCAAACAGGAUUAGAUACCCUGGUAGUCCACACCGUAAACGAUGAAUGCCAGUCGUCGGCAAGCAUGCUUGUCGGUGACACACCUAACGGAUUAAGCAUUCCGCCUGGGGAGUACGGUCGCAAGAUUAAAACUCAAAGGAAUUGACGGG
rnacentral:rRNA from 1 species